GAGUCCUUUAGGAGUAUGAAGUUUAACACCUGUCCUUCUCAAUAUUUCAUGUUGGUCAGAUUUCCACAUUUGAUAGUUUUCCUGUGCCAAACUGACAUCAAUGAAUAAUGAAGUGUGUCACAGUAGAGCAAUUUUU
rnacentral:lncRNA from 12 species